CCUAUCACGACAUACCACCUCAAUAGCAAAAAAAGGCAGAAAUAGAAAAUUUAAAAAUACAUGCUCUUUGUCGAAAUGUCGUAAAAGAUUGUUCAGAAAUCUGACAAAAACCAACUUCAUUUUUUCUAAUGGAACUAUACAGUUUUUAAUAUAUUAAUCAGUCAUGACAUUCCCAUCAAAAAGUUGUUUCCUACAUAUUUAUGUUAAAAACCUGUUAGUACCGAACAAACAAACUUUUGGAAAAAUUGAAAUACACAAAUAAAAUCAUAAAAUUCUUGAUUCCUGUUAAAUAUUGAUAGUCAGACAUAUCUAUGUAUAGCUAGCAUUUUAUGAUGGAAAAUUUUUUCGUCAUGUUAAUAUUAAUUAUUUAUAUGAUAUAUUUAUGUUAUUCAACUCCAGAAGUGAACGUAUUUAUUUAUUGUUUAAAAAUUGUUGUGUACCAUAAUUGUGUGGAUACAGAAGGUCAGUGUGGUAAAGCGGUUACGGCAGAGACAAAGCAAGUAAAUCACUUUUCUGCAUAUCUAUGGCCGACGGUUCUACUAGUCACGCACACUAAUCCAGAAACAGCAGCCAUAUUGCUACAACACAUCAUAAAAAUAGAAAAAUGGCUACAAGAUAAACAAAUGAAAGCAAACCCCAGUAAAUGCAACUAUAUUACAUUUGCGCUAAGAAAACGGAAACCACCAAAUAUCCAAUUGAAUGGCACGCACAUAACACAAACAAGGACACCAUUUAGUACACAACUUACAUGGAAGCAACAUACUAAAUCAAUUAUAGACAAAAUACGGAUAAAAAGAAGACAAAUGUACUGGUUAACUAGUCGAAGUUCUAAACUCAGCAUAGAAAAUAAAUUAAAAAUCCACAAAACGAUAAUAAAACCAAUUUGGACGUACGGAAUACAACUAUGGGGGCAACAGCAGUGAGCCACAUAAAUAAACUAGAGUCGCUACAAUCGAAGAUACUGAGAACAACAGUAGUAGUAGUAGAGAAGGCGUACAUGACCACGAUCGUGGACGCCUAAUGAACGCGUGUGUCACGUAGGAGAAAUCAUGAAAUUGACAGAUCACCGGUGAUUUCCUCCCGUCGUAGUUCGAACGUUCCACAAAAUAUGUUGUCUGGAGCAUGACCGAAUCAUCGGUCGGCCCCAGUUUCCGAGAUAUUCGCAAAUGUAAGAAAAUGUGGAGUUCGAACGCGUUGGACAGUGGCUUGGCCUUCGUUAUUCUUGGAUAUGGAAAGAAAAAGCGUCAACAUUUGAUGGUGUCAUAAGUUAAGCCCUUGCCCGUAUAGUAACGUGGACUAACGGGCCUCAACGUUUUGUGAUUGCGAUGCCUAGUACAUAUUUUCAAACAUUCUUUGUACAAUCGUCAACGUGGACGAACGUCGAAGUAAAACCACAUGAAUUCGGCAUUUCCGAAUCUACAGAACAUGCUAUAAACGUGACUACCUUAACUCGCUUUUAGUAUUUUCUCGCCGGUACAAUUUAAAAGCUACCGGUACAAUUAUUCUGCCUAUAAUUAUACAGCCUAGCAGUAUAUGCAUUAGGUUGGUUGCCAGCCACUUUGCGACGGUCGGGUGCCAUGAUCUGACCCAAACUUAACUCUUGUUUUUUGUUUAUAGCAUAUACAGUGCCGUACGAAAAAGUUUAAAUGCCCUUUAGAACAGAAAAAUUUUAUUAAAACCAAAGCAAAACUAGAAUUUUUUAAAAGAGUUAGAAGGAUUAGUUGAUUAGAUGACGUGUAAAAAGAAUUUUGAAAAUAAUUGUUCAAAAUCAUGUCCCUGACGAGAUAUCAAAAAAUCAUUAAAAUCGGUGUGUGAUAAAGGCAAUGAUUAUCAAAAAUUAAUAACGUCAAAUUAUUUUCUCCUUGAAACCAUUCAACUUUUAUCUGAAAUAUUUUUCAUUAAAGUCGUUAUUUAUGCAGUAA